UAUUAUUAUUAUAGAGUAUAUAUUUAAAUAAGACAAUUAUUUUAUCAUGCUUUCAACGUCAUUAAAGAUAAAUAACUCCAUUUCAAACUUUUAUUAUACAUUCUAUAAAUAAUGAGAAUACGGUUUCCAUGUAAUGUAACCGAACAAGUACUACAAUUUGAAGAAAAAAAUAUGUAUUUUGUAUCAAAACGCGAAAAUAAAUACUUGAAUAUCAAUUUUUGCGCCAUACUUGACACUCCUAGUCCAUAUAUAUCCAUUUUUGGGAUGCAACUUAUCAGAAAACAGAGUAUGAGACAUAAUAUGUAAAGUAUACUAAAAUUGUUUUAAGAUGAAUUAAUUUAUAAUGUAACGCAAUUUAUACUGCAGAGAUGUCAGCAUCUCAAUUAGUUUGUAGCAGUGUAUUAUAUGAUACUUCCAAGCUGCAGGAAACAAGGCGAAUAAAAUAAGUACGCAAACGUCUGUAUUUAAUAAAAGCUUUUCAAAAAUUUAAUUU